rnacentral:rRNA from 1 species
GCGAGCUUAAGCCGGUAGGUGUAGGCGCAGCGAAAGCGAGUCUGAAUAGGGCGCUAAGUUCGACGUAUGACGACCCGAAACCAGGUGAUCUAUCCAUGAGCAGGUUGAAGGUUAGGUAACACUAACUGGAGGACCGAACCCGUGAAUGUUGAAAAAUUCUGGGAUGACUUGUGGAUAGGGGUGAAAGGCCAAUCAAACCUGGACAUAGCUGGUUCUCCGCGAAAUCUAUUUAGGUAGAGCGUCCGACGAAUUCCUUGGGGGGUAGAGCACUGGAUGGUUGCGGGCUGCGCGAGCGGUACCAAUACUAACCAAACUCCGAAUACCCAAGAGAACUAUCGGGCAGACACACGGCGGGUGCUAACGUCCGUCGUGAAAAGGGAAACAACCCUAACCAUCAUCUAAGGCCCCCAAGUCACGGCUAAGUGGGAAACGAUGUGGGAUUGCUUUGACAAUCAGGAGGUUGGCUUAGAAGCAGCCAUCCUUUAAAGAAAGCGUAACAGCUCACUGAUCAAGCGAUCCUGCGCGGAAAAUGUAACGGGGCUCAAGCCGUGCGCCGAAGAUAUGGGUUUGCAGUUUACUGCAAGCGGUAGCGGAGCGUUCCGUAAGCCGGUGAAGGUCAGGCGUGAGCCUGGCUGGAGGUAUCAGAAGUGAGAAUGCUGACAUGAGUAACGAUAAGAGUGUGAGAGACACUCUCGCCGAAAGACCAAGGGUUCCUGCGUAAAGCUAAUCUGCGCAGGGUUAGUCGGCCCCUAAGGCGAGGCUGAAAAGCGUAGUCGAUGGGAAGCAGGUAAAUAUUCCUGCACCAGCUGGAAGUGACGGAUGGCUUAACUCGUACCCACUUAUUGGAUUGUGUGUGCGGGGGCGUUGUCCCAGGAAAUAACUCCAGCAGAGACCGUACCCUAAACCGACACAGGUGGUCAGGUAGAGCAUACCAAGGCGUUUGAGAGAACUGUGCUGAAGGAACUCGGCAAAUUGCACGCGUAACUUCGGAAUAAGCGUGACUCACCUUGCGCAAGCAGGAAUGAGUGGCACAAGCCAGGGGGUAGCGACUGUUUAGCAAAAACACAGGGCUCUGCGAAGCAGCAAUGCGACGUAUAGGGCCUGACGCCUGCCCGGUGCCUGAAGGUUAAGUGGAGGGGUGCAAGCUCUGAAAUGAAGCCCAAGUAAACGGCGGCCGUAACUAUAACGGUCCUAAGGUAGCGAAAUUCCUUGUCGGGUAAGUUCCGACCUGCACGAAUGGCGUAAUGAU